AGCCAGUGCCGUUACCUUCCCGCAGAAUUGCCUAAGUGGGACUGGAGCGAGGCAGCCUUCAGCUUUGCUGUGUUCCUAGCAGAGGCUACUGAGCAGGAUGCUGAUUUCCAGGGUCAUUUCUGCUUGACUUCAACGGAGCAAGAGACGAUGUUCCUCGCCUGCUGCCAGCCCCCUCGCAGCGAGCACGUGGAGCCUGUUUUGUUGGUCUUCUGUACCCUGCAACACCACCAGGAGGGAGCUGGGGCUCCCCAGGUUGAACUCUGCCGAAUUUAUAACUGGGAGCACCUGAGCUGCCUCUGAAGCUCUCACUGACAAAUUAAGGGGAAAAUUCAAUUAUAAAUCAUCGGUUUCUGGGUGGUUGG
rnacentral:lncRNA from 1 species